ACAAAGGCUUUAAUCAAAGCCAUUCAAAGUGAUAAAGUUAAAAAAU
rfam:Campylobacter cuniculorum LMG 24588, complete genome.